rnacentral:rRNA from 1 species
UACAGAGGGGGCAAGCGUUGUUCGGAAUUACUGGGCGUAAAGGGCGCGUAGGCGGCCUGUUAAGUCGAACGUGAAAUCCCCGGGCUCAACCCGGGAACUGCGUCCGAUACUGGCAGGCUUGAAUCCGGGAGAGGGAUGUGGAAUUCCAGGUGUAGCGGUGAAAUGCGUAGAUAUCUGGAGGAACACCGGUGGCGAAGGCGGCAUCCUGGACCGGCAUUGACGCUGAGGCGCGAAAGCCAGGGGAGCAAACAGG